CUGUGAUAUGAAUUAACUAAGUUCAUGCUUGUCUGAGUGUUUUGAGAUUGUACAAAGUCCAUGAUUUGUCUUUAAUUCAAGAUGAAAUGCUUGUUUUAAGGUAGUUUUGCUUGUUGUAGCACUUGGAGGCUUACAUUUUUUUUUGGUUCACUUACACGGUUAGUUUCUGUUUUAUUCAUGAAUUUCUGUGCUUCCUCACUUGCAUCGUCAAUAACUCCUUCCAUGAUGUUAUCUUCUGUAAACACACUUCUGUUUGCCUUUCACUAGUUUGAAGGACAUUUUUCAUUGAAAGAUCCAAAUGAAUUGAAAUUGCUGCUAUAAUGUAUUUGCUUUGCUGCUAAAGCAGGUCUAUGUAAAUAAACUAGAACUUGAAAAGUCUUAAAGUGUUGUUGUACCCAUAUACUUCAGUCCAGCUGGCUUCCUAGCUGCAGAAAAUCUCAAGCUUUUUUAUUCUUGACUGUCAGGUUCUUUUUUUUUUUUUUUUUUGUUGAAAAAUCCAAAAUUCUAGUGGUAUUUAUUUAUAUAUUUUUGGAUUGAUGCGCCUAUGUUUGUUGGAAGUGUGUUGUUAUCUUCUGUUGAGUCCUUGGCAUUUAUGUUUAUGCAGUUGUCCGUAUUUUUUUCUCGAGUUAUGUGGUAUCUGUUAUCAUAUUAAUUUUGAUUGUCUUUUUCUCAAGUUAUUUUGUAUACAUUUUAUUGUUUCUUUUAGUAGGCAUCGAUAUUUUCACUUUAGCCUUCCUACUUUCAUAUAUCAGCUGGAGUGGAAAGAUUGAAAGAUUAGUUUGGUUCACUUUUACAAUGAGCCACAUGUUAUUACAACACUGCAUCAUUUCGACCAAAUAGGGAAACUGCGACACAAGAAGAAUGCCCAUUGGAAAAUAGGGAUCGUGCAGCUGGCUGAUAGCAGAAAAUUCCUGAAUUCUUGGUGAUAGUGAUUAUUUAUGUUGGACUCCUGCUCUUAUGUCUGUGGAUCUGCCCACUAUUUUCAGUUUGAUCCUUCAAUCUAAUUUCCUUAUGGUUGUAUGUUUAUUGACUUAUAUUCUGUCAUGGUAUUAUGAUUUGAUAUCCUUUUCUUAUCAGGCGAGUUGGCUAACAUGAAGUUCACUUUACUAUUUUCGUCAAUGUUUAUUGGAGUGCAAAGCUUCGCCAUAUAGUGUGGUUUGUGACUGUUGUGUUGUCUAAUAUGUUGCCUUAUCUUCUUUUUGACUUGUUUGUAAAAAAUUAGAACUCUAAUUCUAAUUGUCAUUAUGUUUGGCUGCUAUACUCUAUGUUCACAGUCAAAUGUCAUCCCUUUUUCGUUUGUUUUUAUGGUUUAUGUCCAAAUGUUGCUAGAGCAGUUGAUGUCAAUAAAAGAGUAUCUUCCUGGACUAACAGUCUCCUUCUGCAUUCUUAAUGUUUUAUGAAACCAAGUACUUUUUUGUGCUUUUAGUUAUUGGUAUGAUAAAAUGAGAUCUGAUUAUAUGAACAAUUCAAGGCAGAUUGCACAUUUUUAUUUAAAAUACUAGUAUUGUGCAUACAGAAAAAGAGAACUUGUGCCUAUACGGGCUUCCUAAUGAGACAUGGGAAGUUAACCUGCCUGUUGAGGAAGUGCCUCCCGAGCUCCCUGAGCCAGCGUUAGGUAUAAACUUUGCUAGAGAUGGAAUGCAGGAGAAGGACUGGUUAUCACUGGUUGCAGUGCACAGUGAUUCAUGGUUGCUUGCUGUAGCUUUUUAUUUUGGUGCACGCUUUGGAUUUGGCAAAAAUGAAAGGUAUUUUCUCUUUCUUGCCCGUUUACUUGCAUUUGCUGUAAUCUCCAGAGCUUUAGCAUUAGUAUCUGCAUUUUUGGUAUCAUAUUGUUAGUUCUUAGUCCUGUCUCAUAGUUCUGCCACUGGUUUUCAACAUUACAAGAUGAUAAAUGGGAUAUGCAUAGAUAUAUGAUUAAAUUUUAUGGUUGAGAUUGUUUCAAUUGAAAGUUCAAGGUAGUAAGUCCUGGGGAGAGCAAAAAUAUAUGUUUGAUCAUUUGACUUAUUUUUGUAAGAAUAUACAUUUGAUCAUUCCACAUAUUUAUCUUUUAUAAUGCUAAUUGGUGAUGAUUUGUCUUCUCUCAUAUUUGUAUUUAUAACUAUUUAUUGGUAACUUGAUCUGCCAAUAUUAAGUUUAACAAGUCUAAUAAUGUUGUCUUGACAUUAAUUUAUGAUUGGUUAUUCUGUGGUCAACAAUUUAAGGCCCCUCCAGGUUUUUGUUUUAUACAUUCUGGACCAUUUUUCGCUGCUAGAGCUCUUGUCUGUCGUCUUGUAAAAUUCGGUUUGAACCACCUUGGUUACUAUGUUUCAUUCAUCUCAUUCAUGUUACAAAGUCAUAUGAUCAACUGUAUGACAUAUGAUGUUUGACAACCUAUGCAUUCAAGUUGUCAUUAACGAAAGGAAGUUUAUGGUCUCUGACAAAGUCUGACUCAUUUAGCCGGUUGACACUGCUCAAUGGAAUGUUAAUAAUCUAAUAGGGUAUCAUAGAUUUCUUGAACAAAAGACAAAAAUAGGACUAACUGAACAAUAUACUACGGAACUAUUGUUGAAGUUAUACAUGAUAUGGAAAACCUGCGAUGCUAUGCUUGACCAGGAAGUUUAAAAAAGUCAAGAUGAAUGUCUGGUUCUAAUUUUUCUUGGAAUUGGAUCUUGCAGGAAGAAACUUUUCCAGAUGAUAAAUGAUCUCCCGACCAUCUUUGAAGUUGUAACUGGAAAUGCUAAGCAACCAAAGGACCAAUCUGCUAAUCACAAUAGCAGCAAAAGCAAAUCGAGUGGAAAGGUUUGAGGAAAUUGAAAUUGGAACUUAAUGGUUUUCAGUUACUAUUGUUUUUAUCAAAUUCUUUUCUCUCACGGUUUGGAUGUUGCCUUCGAGCAGUCUCGUCCAGCUGAAUCACAAACCAAAGCAGUGAAGAUGUCUCCACCACCGAAGGACGAUGAUGAUAGUGGGGAUGAAGAAGAGGAAGAUGAUGAACAGGGCGCCACCUGUGGAGCAUGCGGGGAUAACUAUGGCACUGACGAAUUCUGGAUCUGCUGCGAUAUCUGUGAGAAAUGGUUCCACGGCAAAUGUGUAAAGAUUACACCUGCGAAGGCCGAGCACAUCAAGCAGUACAAGUGCCCCAGCUGCAGUAGCAAGAGGGCUAGAGUUUAAGAUCAGUUAUGAAGUUGGGAAUUGAACAACGAUUGAACAAAGCAAGACAAGAUUAGAACUUUUUUCGUUACAGUUUGAGAGUAAAACAGAGUCAGAUACCUGUUUUAGUCAAUGAAUUUGCAACUCCUGUUUAAUUUUCUCUGGAAUUUGUGUUUUGAAAUAGCUGCUGGCAUUUAGAAAUGCAAAUGUUGGAGCAAGUUUUCUGGUGGUUUGAUCUAAAGUUCUUGUUGUGAAUGUGUAAGCAUCAUUGACAAAAGGCUCUUUCUAUUCUAUGACUAUGUCCUUUGUUGAAGGAAAAGAUUGGAACAUCCCUCAUUGUAGCAUCAAACAUGCAAGGAAAUUGAAGCAUAACUUGGCUUGAGCAUGAAGUCAUCAUAACAUGCUCCCAAAUUUUGGUGCAAAAUUAUUGUCCGCCAAUUGCUAUCAAUUGGAUGAAAAAGUUCCAAUUUCAAGAAGCAAUCAAAUAUUGUUUUAAAUAAGUGGAUGCAAGUACAAACUAAUAAUGAUGAGGUGGUCUUCUGAUUGUCCACAAUCUAUUGCUAAAUUUAUGUUAAAAAGUGAAAAAGUGAUUUGAUAAUAUUUCACCAACUGUAAGCAUCCAAAUGUGGGGAUUUUGGCAAAAGAAUGUUCCAACUAUUUACGUAAGCAAACACACUAUAACUAUAUAUAUAUAUAUAUAUAUUCUAAUGGAGGGUCUUGUCUUGAAUGAAUCACUGAAGAGUAACAUGUUUACAUUUUGACUUUCAAUGAUUUCAUUAUGGACACACACAACGAUCAUCACCAAAAAAUUAAAAAAAAAAGUUAAGAUUUAACAAAACACACAUGCAAUUGGAGAGCUUUAGAAACAAUUAAGACAUUUUAACUCAACGUAUUAAUCAUGAUAAUCAUUAGUUCAUGUGGAAAAGAAAUUUUUGAUCGCAAUUAUGAAAUGAAGACAUGAUUAACUCACGCAACUUUAUAUUCCAUUUUAAUUGAGCAAAAAUAUUAAUUAAUUCAACUCGUUAGGUCCCUUCUUUUUUGUUGUAAAUGGAGGAGCUUAAGGUUAAAAAGCCUCCCUCAUAUCUAAAAUCUACAAAGAAACAAUGAAAUAAAAAGACUUGUGGGAUCAAGUAGGCUUUUCAAUUCGUUCAAGGCCAUGGGGACCUACUCUUUAAAGUUUCUAUUUGUUGCAAUUGCAUUAUUAGGCUUUGAUGCUGCCGCUUGGAUAAGCUUCUUGUGGUAUUAAUCAAAAUAGAAAAUGCAUUGUCAUGCUAUAAAAUCCAACAGUAGAAUUCCACCAAAAUCAAACAUGUUUUGUUUGUCUGCAAAAUUUCUAUCAGAAAAAGCACAAGAAACCAAACACAACCAAGAAGCUGCAUUGGCCCUGUCUUUAUAAAUCUGCUUAAAGCCAUAAAUGGUUUAGGGCUUAGCAAAAGGUAUUGGUUUUUUAUUUUUUAUUAGUAGUAUUGUCGUGCAAGCUCAAGUGAUGGUUAAUAUUCAAUUGACAAAAACCUAAAGAAACCAAAAGUUGCAUGUGAUUAAGCAUUUGGUUGUAGAUGGGUUAAAGCAUGUUGUGAGUAGAAAAAUUUAAUGUCAUUAAUCUCCAACUGAUAAAACAAUUUAAUGCUUGACUAACCAAUCACGUGCUAAAGAGGAAAAGAGAUUUGAUUUGGGAAUAUCUUAAAGGAUUAGUUUAAUUGGGAAAUUAUUAAAAUUAAGAAGAGUUGUGAAGAAAAAAAAAACCAUGAUAGAGAUUAGAGAGAGGUCUCAUUGUGGCCUUGGCACAUGCUUUGGUUGUUAGUUAAAUAGAAAAUUGAUCGAUCGAUCACCAAAACUUGACCAACACCCAUUUCUGUCUACGUUUUGAUUGUGAUUGAUAAGCCAUUUUCAAUUGCUAACGUAUGGAUACUGCUUCAACAUGGAAUCUAAAUCUUGAUCUUGAUGGUGGAGAGAAAAUUGUGAUUUGUUUUCUAAAAAUGAAAAACAAAAUUAAGAUACAUAUGACUAAUAUGUAAAUGAUUACAUGAAACGUGAAAUUAAUAAUAUCAAACGUUAUACAUAUAGAUCGUAUAAAUGAUAAAUGAUAACACAAAACAUCAUAAUAAUAAUUAUGUACGUUGUCAAACUUAGGAGUACAUUAACUAUAUUAAUUAUUUGGAUUAAAAUGGUAAAACUCUAUAUUGGUGUUAAUGUAAAGUCCAAAAUUUCACUCUUUUUCUCUCUUUUCUAUUUUUUUUCCUUUUAAAAUAGAGAUCACAUUGUUGUGCGCAGCAUCCUGUAAAAGUUUUUUUUUUCUUUCUUUUUUAUUUUUUGUCACAUUAUUCAUGAAAAGAAAAGAAAAAAAACCUCAUCAAUUUCUUCUUCAGAAAGUACUUUCUAGUUCUAUGCAACUCUUCACCUUAUCUUGUCAUGAAUUCACAAGCUUGAUUCAUUCAAUAAGUUCAACCAUAUUGGUUGAAGAGAUGGCGAAUAUGCAUUUACUGAAAAAGCAAGGAACACCUAAUGACUUUGUGCCUUUAACUUUAAUAGAAGGACACUCAAAUGCAAAAUGAACAUAUAAACAGAAAAUUGCAACCAAUUAAUCAAUAGCUAUGAAAAGAUCAAACUACUGAAUUGAAUUGUUCUAUUCUCUUGUACAAAUGUCUCUAUUUUAUAUCAUUCAAAACAAUAUUAUUAUAGUGCAUAUGUAUUUUACAAGGUGAAGAGUAGACAUUCCUAUUUAAAAACUUUUUCAAAAUUUAUAUAGUCUCUUGACACUUGAAUCACAUGAAUAAACAAUGAUAGAGCGUUAGUAUAAAAACAUAGUAUAAUAUUAAGAUUGAUGGAUGUAAAUAGAAACAUGUUACAAUUCCUUUUAAGUGGAUCUUUUAUAUAUACCAUUCACCACAUUACCAAUACAAUAUAUAUAUAUUAGCAAAAAUAGUAGUAUCAAUAUCUUUCCAAAAACAUAUUCUUAAAAGAAGUUUAUUUUUUUUCCUUUAUAAUGUUUUCUUUUUCUUUCUUGCAAUAAAUAUGUCCAUAAAUCAUUCAAAAAAUAUUGUGUAACAAAACAGACAAAAGACAAGAAGAGACCAAGAACUGUUUCAAGUGUAAAAAGGCAAAAACUGUAAAAUAAAAAAUAAAUAACAAAUAAAAAAAAUGAAAGACAAAAAACACAACACAAAUAUCAAAAGAAGUAGAAAUCCCGGGGUCCCCGGGGCUUCUUCCACAGUCCAAAGUUCUCUUUCACACACACACUCACUCACAUUCCAAAGAUUCAACUUUCAACACUUUUGAUUUGAGGCGCCAACUAAGAAAUAGGAGUAAAAAAUCAAAAAAAUCAAAAAUAGAAAUAAAGAAGUAAAAACCCUAGUGACAGUGAGUGAAGAAGAAGAAAAGGAAAAACCAACAAAAAAUAUUAUUUAUAUUGUCAGGUACUGGUCCAUUUCAUACUCACACACUGUCAAAAUCCAUUCUUUCCUAUCCACUCUCUCUUUCACUAAACAUUUAUUACCAUUUUCGUUCAAAGUUUCAAUUUUUUUUUUCCUUUUUGUUGUUGGGUUUUUAUGAUUUGUAAAUUUUGUGUACGUCGGGUUUGAAGCUUUGAUGAGUGAAAUGGAAAUGUGGGUAUUGUUUUAAACUUGUAAAGUUUUGUUUUGGGGUUUGUGGGUUUUUUUUUUCUUUUUUUUUUUUAAUUCUUGGUUUGACCAAGGGAAAUGGCUGAAAUGAGAGGGAGGUUGCAGUUGAAGAAAGAGCUGACACAAAUUAGGAAAGCAGCCCGUUUGCGUGAUCCGGGGACCACAUCUUCUUGGAAGUCACCAUUGAGUUCAUCCAGAUCUCUAGCAGCAGCAGUGGCAGCAGCUUCUGCUUCUGGCUCUGCUUGGAAGAUCAAUAACAAUAACAAGCAAUUGGUUGAUGAAGACAACAAUGUGAGUAUUAAUAAUGGGAAUGUGAAUGGGAAAGAGAAGAGGGUGUUUUUGUGUAAUUGGAAGAAUCAGAAAUCUUCGAGUGAGACUAGUGCAGUUGCAAGAAAUGAUGAUGAUGAUAUUGAUGUCGAUGAUGAUGAGGAUGAAGAAUCUUCUUCGGUUAUCGAAAGUGUUGAUGAUAGCUUGAGUGAUGCAAGAAAUGGUGGUGAUUCAAAGAGUGAUACUUAUUUGGGUGAGAAUCGGGCAUCAUCGAUUUUCAGGUGUAGAGAUGCAAAUCUUGUGUCUGUGGCAACUCCAGCAAUGAAAAGAGCAAUGGCUGCCAAGAGAAAAAGUAAGAGACAUAAAACCCUUUCCGAUUCUUUAACUAGAUAUCAACAAAAACAAAUUAUUCUUGCUAGGAAUUCAGCGGCAUUAGGUUUAGGCAGGGAUGAGUCUGUUGAGCAAUCCGAUGAUACUGAAGAUUAUUGUAAUUCGGAGGAUUUUCGUAAAUAUUCUGGGGCUUCCCCAUUGCUAUUAAAACUUAAGCAUAAAAACUGGUCACAUUCGUCUUCUAAGUUGUUGAAAGGUGGUAGAAAAGAAGAUUCGUCUUAUAGUUACAGCACACCUGCAUUGUCUACUGGUUCUUAUAAUAGGUAUGUUAAUCGUAAUCCUAGUACAAUUGGAUCUUGGGAUGCCACAACAGCAUCCUUGAAUGAUAAUGAUGAUGAUAUGGAUGAUCAUUUGGAUCUCCCGGGUCGUCAAGGAUGUGGGAUUCCGUGCUAUUGGUCAAAAAGGACACCAAAACAUAGAGGGGUAUGUGGGAGUUGUUGCUCUCCUUCCCUUUCAGAUACUCUAAGGAGGAAAGGAAGUAGCAUUUUGUGUGGGAGCCAGACGAUGUAUCAUGGAAGGAGACGCUCGUCAUCUGUUUCUAACAAGCGGAGAAUGGCUUCAAGAAGUGCCCAAGGUGUUCUCCCAUUACUCGCCAAUAAUGGUGAUGGGAGAGCAGGGUCAUCUAUCGGAACUGGCCGUAGUGAUGAUGAACUUUCUACAAACUUUGGGGAGCUCGAUUUGGAGGCAUUAAGCAGAUUAGAUGGCAGGAGGUGGUCGUCAAGCUGUAGGAGUCAAGAUGGGUUAGAGAUUGUAGCUUUAAAUGGAGAGGAAGAGGAAGGUGCACUGGAGAAUAUAAGGAGUUUGAGCCAGAAAUACAAGCCGAUCUUCUUUGAUGAAUUGAUUGGACAGAAUAUUGUGGUUCAAUCACUUGUGAAUGCCAUUUCAAGGGGAAGAAUUGCUCCUGUUUAUCUUUUCCAAGGUCCUCGAGGGACAGGGAAAACGUCAACGGCUAAGAUCUUUUCUGCUGCUCUGAAUUGUGUGGCUACUGACCAAACCAAGCCCUGUGGGUACUGCAGAGAAUGUAACGAUUUCAUCUCUGGAAAAAGUAGGAAUUUUAUGGAAGUUGAUGGCACCAAUAAAAAAGGAUUGGACAGAGUUAGAUACAUUUUGAAACACUUAUCUGCUGGUCUUCCAUCAGCCUCUCCACGAUUCAAGGUUUUUGUUAUUGAUGAGUGUCACCUGUUGCCCUCAAAGACGUGGCUGGCGUUUCUCAAGUUUCUUGAAGAACCACCACAGAGAGUUGUGUUCAUAUUCAUAACAACAGAUAUUGACAAUGUGCCCCGUAGCAUACAAUCACGGUGUCAAAAAUAUCUAUUCAACAAAAUUAAAGAUGGUGACAUUGUAGCGAGGUUGAGGAAAAUUUCUGCUGAGGAGAAUCUGAAUGUUGAGCCGGAUGCAUUAGAUUUAAUUGCUCUGAACGCUGAUGGUUCUCUUCGAGAUGCUGAAACUAUGUUAGACCAGCUCAGUUUGCUUGGAAAAAGAAUCACUUCAUCUCUUGUAAAUGAACUUGUGAGUUUUAUCGACAAUGCUUUGUUGGCAUGGUUUGAUUCGGAUUUAGUUAUUAACACUACCAUAAUUUCAUGAAUGGGAAUAUGAUCAAUUAACAAAAAAACUAUUCUGUAAAGAAAAGCUAAACCAUCUCAAGUGCAUGUGAGUUUCAUAUUUUUCUGAUCCUUUAGUUGUACAUAUAAUUAGUUCAACUUACAUAUGCAAUUUGCUGACUUCUCUGCAGGUGGGGGUUGUUUCUGAAGAGAAAUUACUGGAACUUUUAGAAUUAGCGAUGUCAUCAGACACUGCAGAAACGGUGAAAAGAGCCAGGGAGUUGAUGGAUUCUGGGGUUGAUCCAAUGGUUUUGAUGUCUCAACUGGCUAGCCUCAUCAUGGACAUCAUUGCUGGAACCUACACCAUUGGUGGAAGGAGUUGUGAGUAUUAUCCAUUUCACUUUUUCAUGGUUGUUUCUUCGGAAGCAAAAGCUCCAAAGAGAUAGAAAAUUUGUUCUCUAAUUAGAUCAAUCUGCUAUGUUUGAAAUCCCUGUUAACUCAAUUUUGGUAAGUUAAUAUUGGGAAUACCAGACCGCCUAGAUAUACUAAAUCAUAAAUUGGUAAUACCUAGCUUUUCAAACAAAUGCGUUGGAGAAACAUUUUUCUCUUUAUUUUUGUUUUACUGAAAUCUCCAUGGACUCAAGUGCACAAUUUGUGUAUAAUGUCUUUGAGGUGACUAGAUGUCCCAUUUAUUCUCAUAAGGAAAAAUAUUGGUAUGUAUCUAUUAUCAUUGAUUUGUCUCAUCAUAUUUUUUAUAAGGUAAGUUUUAAUCUGCAGCAAUUUUCCAAAAAGGUUAAUUCUUUUAGUUACUUGUCGUGUAUUUGCAGCCAACUUAAACCCAUUAUGGAAAGUUGGUUAACAUUGUAUCCAGAACCUUGGUUUGCUGAUUGUGAUUGGUUACAUUGUAUCCAUUUUAUCCACCUUUUAUUGUUGUUCCAACUUUCAUUUAUUUAUCUUAGCUUCAAUUGAAAUGCAGCCAAAAAGAAAAGGAGAAACAUUUUGAGUUUGAAACCCAUUGUAAAAUUUAUUCUCUGCUGUCAGUUAGAAAUAUUACAAUUGAAAUUACUGAUAUGCAUUGUUGUUGUCAUUCUCUAGUAACUGAAGCAGAAUUGGAGAGAUUAAAGCAUGCAUUGAAGCUCCUUUCAGAGGCUGAGAAACAGCUAAGGCUUUCAAGUGAACGCUGCACCUGGUUCACUGCAGCCUUGUUGCAACUUGGUUCAAUGCAUUCGCCAGAUCUCACUCAGUCAGGUAGCAGUAGAAGGCAGAGCUCUAGGACUACCGAGGAAGAUCCAUCAAGUACUUCAAGAGAAGCUGUUGUUUACAAGCGGAUGUCAGGUCCUCAAUAUAUGCCUCAAAAUGCAGCAUCCCCUGCUUCCUUGCGUGAACCAGUUAAUGGAAAUUCCAGGCAUCUUGGAGAAGUAUUAUCACGAAUUGAUGGUCAUAAUUCUUAUUCCAAGCCCUCACAUAGCCGGUUGAAAGAUGCGGGUGCCUUGGCUGUCUCACAGAAUGGCAAUAUUGUUGGAAAUACGAUUAUUACAUGCAGAAAUUCAGAAAAGCUAGGUGAGAUCUGGGCACAGUGUAUUGAAAGGUGUCAUUCGAAGACAUUGAAGCAGCUACUGCAGGUCCAUGGAAAGCUUUUGUCUAUCUCUGAAGUUGAAAGUAAGUCCAAUAAGUUUUACUGGGAAAUUGAAUUACACAAUGUAAAAGAAUAUAUACACAGACAUAACAUGUAUAUUCUUAAUCGUUAUUACUGUUAUUUGAUUCUCAAUCCUAUUAACUGAACACACACGCACACUACCUAGGCCUAGCUCCACUGGUUAGUGGACGGCCUUCUUAAAGGUUCGAGACUCAUGUAGUGUGCGUGUGUAUUUGAUUAAUAAAUUUUUUUUUUAAAUCUUAUUUAAUUUAAAAAUAUUCAAGUAGUCACGAAGUGCUUCCAGGAAAUUUUGGGUGAAAAUAAUCCUUUGGGCUAUGAUUGCUAAUUUUUUUGUAAAUUUAAGCAUCUUAAUUUUUGAAGUUCUAUAAAAAUGAAAGUGGGUAAAGUGUCAUAUUAAGUGUAAAUUGCGAAACUAAUAAGGAUUUUGAUUUGUUAAGUACCUUGAGAAAUGGUAUAUACUGCUGUAACAAUAUUGUUUUUCUCUGUCUGUGGCUCCCUAUUUUUGGCCUCUACUAAUAUGGAUUUUGAUUUAUUAAGUUCCUUGAGUGGAGGUGUAUAGUUCCUUGUCUGUCUCCAUCUCUGGCUCCCUAUUAGUGGCCUUUUUGGUCCACAUACUGUUGAUUCAAAUUUCCUUAAAGAUGUUUGCAAGUGUUUAAAUUUCUAUAUGUUUCUCCUUGCAGGAGUUUUAAUUGCCUACGUUGCAUUUGGAGAUGGGGAUAUUAAGUCAAGAGCAGAAAGGUUUUUGAGCAGUAUUACCAAUUCAAUUGAAACUGUAUUGAGACGCAAUGUAGAGGUUAGAAUAAUCCUGUUGCCGGAUGGUGAGGCUUCUAUUCACCAUGGAAUUUCUAAUGAGUUACCUAAAGGUCUCAAAAAGACAGAAACCACUGCCGCAAUUGAGAGGGAAGGAAAGGCACUUUGCUCAAAUGCAAACGAUAAUUAUUCUGAUUCAGACUCACAGCAGAUUCCUGUUAAUGUAGCGAGGAAAGUAUCCAGAGGAAGUUUUAAUGAGUUGGAAAGCAAGUUUAAAGGAGAGGAUGAUCAUUCAAAUUGUUCUCCCCUUUUUGCUGACGGCAAUUCGGAAAUUAGUAGUACAAAAGGGAGGAGGCAGGAGAUUCCAAUGCAGCGAAUAGAAUCCAUAAUCCGCGAACAGAGGUUAGAAACUGCAUGGUUACAGGCUACAGAGAAAGGAGCCCCUGGAUCACUGGGUCAUUUGAGACCUGAGAAGAAUCAAGUGUUGCCCCAGGAGGAUAUCUAUCGACAAAAUCAUAUGGAGUCCAUUCUUUCAUCAGGAUUGUCUUCUCAGCAAUGGGAAGAUGAAUUAAAUCAGGAACUCAAAAUUUUGAAGCUCAAUGAAGAUAGAGUGCUCAAGAAGGAUGAGAAUGGCAAAAAGGGUGAAAAUUACCCGAUAUUGCCAAGCUUAUUGCAUGAUAGCAGUUUUAUGGGGAAUUUCAGCAAAGAGAACCAGUAAGUCUUUUACUGACAUCUAUUGUAAUUAUAUAUUAUUUUUUCUGUGAUACUUUGCACUCCUUGGGUCCCAAUCGAGAAUAGAUUUCCAAAAACUAAAGCCUAGAAAUUGAUAGAACAAUUAGGUUGCUUGAAAUUUGGUGUACUAUAUCCCAGCUUGUUGCUAGGUAUAGGGUUGAUCUUACAAGAUCCAGCUAAAAGUCCAAUACCCAGUUCCAGAAGUUUAGAGAAAAGUGGCUUAAUCCAAUACUGAAGAAUUCAAGAUUGUUGAGUUUACCUUUUUCUUGAAGUACUAGAUUCUCACUUAGAUUGUAUACCUCUCAUGCUAAAUGCUGGUGUUUCUUUAGGGGAUAUGAAUCAGGGUCACAAGCUGGAGGUUGCAGUGGGCUAUUCUGUUGGAAUAACACCAAACCUCAUAAGAAGGGAAAGGUAUUUUAUCAGUAUUAAUAUGUUUCUUCCUUCAUUCUAGCAUUUUGCAUAAAGUCAUCAGGUUCUAUUUCUGUGUGUGAACAGGUCAAAGGAACCCCUGUUCGAUCACGAAAAGGCGGGCAUUUUUCAUUAUUUGUCGAUUGCACAAAGGCAAAAAAAAGUGAAAGCAGACUUAGAAGAUAAAUGGGGAGCUUAAAUUUAAGUAGUUGGGAAUUCAUCCUUUUGUUUUCUUUGCAAAUUUUUUGUGUAUUUAUUUUCCAGUUAAACCAUUCUUCAAGAAUGCCAGCUGAGCUCAAAGAGAAUGAUGUAAAAUGAAAAGGAUAUGUUGGACUUUGGCAUUUGUUUAGCUGCAGCUAAUUUUUAUGCCAUGAAUUAUAUAUAAUGAGAAACAGUCUAAGAUGAAAGCAAUUCAGCUUUUGCACUGCCUUGCUUGCUGGUGUAGUAAAAUUAGUUUUUGCGAGUUGCUCAUGGUGCCAUUUCAACCCAUUCAUUUACGGAUCCGCUAAUAUACAUCAGAUAAUGCAUGUUACAGAUCUCAACACAACAUUUGAAACUUCUUACACUAAACUUGAAACAUCUAAUAGAAAUAUAGAAAUCAAACUUGAAUUGUAAACCAAAAUUUGAAAUGUUUAAUAGAAAACUUGAACGGUAUUUGUGUACCGAAUCCCAUUUAUUCACCAUUUAUUCAAGGUGUACCGUGGAGUAUGGACCCCAGUGUUUAGUUAAAAUUUCGGAAGCAAAAGUUCAAAAAUACAACACAACAGAUAAAAACUUCUUUUAAGAAGACUCUGAGCUCAAAUUCAAUAUCCUCUCUGCAAUUAACAAAUCAUCAGGGGUUGUAACCUGGAAUUCAGAAUACACAACACAUCAAUUUGCAGUUCAUAUAACUUCAAGGUCACCUUUUUCAUGCAUAGGAUGAAUUUUUUGAGGAAACUACUGUAUUUCAGGCUAAAAAAUGUUGAUUCUGUUAUAUGAAAAUGCUAAAUGUCAAUCAGUAAGGGGUACCAGGUGAGAUUUCCACCCAUUACCUUGAUGUUGGUGUAAGAUCCUUCGGUGAUGUAUACAGGAUGUUUGAGAUGCUCCACUAUAGAUACAUCAUCAGUAACUUCAAGACCUUCCCUGUAGACAAUUACAGUUUGCUAAGAACAUUUUUUCUGUAUAGAGGUGUGAACACAAUGAAUUAAAAUGGAACAACCAGUAAAUUGUUUUUAUCUGGAAAUCAUAGACAUCAGUAUCAGCAUGAUGGGUUCACAGUAAAAGAUUUAUAGAUGAGGAGCUUAAAAGCAAAUGCAGUACCUAUUGACAAGCUCAAAACCCUUUUUAAGCAAGUCAGGCUUGAUCACCUAUCACAAAAAAUUUAUGGAAGUUACAAAAUAAUAUAUCCAAUAUGUCAAAUUGUUAGAACAGAAAUAUCAUGCAGUCUCUUGCAACAGCAAACCUGAGGGGUCUGCAUUUCCCAAAGAGUUUUGCGGUCCAGGGUUCUAACCACAAAAGAUUCGCUAUUUGCCUGCAUGCAUAUAUUAGGGAAUAAGUUCCCAAAUCUAUAAAACCAUUUGCUUCCCCAAACUAUAUUCUCCAAUGCACAUCCGGAGUAUAAGAAGCAGAAAGCAAUGAAUUUUAACUGGAAUAAGAAAGUGAAGUAAAAAGACGUAUCAAAUCCCAAAUGGUACAAGUGCAAAGGCUAAUGUGCACCUCUUUAAUUGUAGCUUUGGCAGGAACACCAAGUACAGCUGCUCCGACCCGCAAAGCAUCCAUAAGGACCUAAUAGUGGUAAAAUAAUGAGGCACGUAGCCAAUAUUUUUCUGGAACUCCUAGAAAAUAUGGGAAUGUUUACUAGACCUGUUUACUAAACCAAACCACCAGCCCAUACCUUUUGCACAUCUUUAGAUAAUACCAAAGGUCUAGCAGAAUCAUGGAUGCACACGAGCUCAGAGUUAAAAUCAACUUCCUGGAUGCAAAAGCAGCAUAUAACAAUACAAAUGAAAUCUAAUGUUAAAUUAUCAGCCACUAAGAGCAAAUCAAAAAACUGGAUGAGAAAAAAAGAACUGGAUAUCAGGACACCAUAAUUUUUGACUAAUUUGUUACGAAACAUUUGACUCAAUAAACAAUUGAUAUAAUAUCUUAUUGUGACUUUAUUGGUGGGUCGUCAAGUUUAAUUUUUUGAAAAAAAAGAAAAAGAAAAAAGAAAGAAGCUAAUAAUCCACUUAUGCGUACCACCAAUCCUUGAGAUAAAUCAUUUGGUUAUAUUCUAACAAUUCAUGGCAUGAAGAAUUAAUAACAGAUAAAAUAUAAACCCAGAAAGAAGAAGAAUAAAGCAGUGUUGCUGCCAAAUUUCAAGCAAAAUCCAGUUUUCUUUAAGUUAAAUUUUAUGAGCAGAGAAAUUUAUUUGCUAGCAGUAACCAUUGAAUAGUUUUCAGUAAGUUUUUACAGGCUAGAGGAAAAUUGAAUCAACAUAAGAUGUUGAAAAAGCAAGAACAUAGAUAGAGAAACUAAAUUUCCGCUUAAUUAUCUAUGCACCUGAAGUCCGCUGUAAACAGAAUCUUGCCUCUCCUUCCCCGGAAGUGAGAAUUUAAGGUCUACAUUGAUCUUCUCUUUGGUUUCUGAAAGAAAAAUCAAGAAAUUAGUUUACAUAUUUCUGGUAGCACUCAUGCCCAACAUUAAAAGGUGACCAAACUGGUAUACUCAUUAAUAGGAGAAAGCAUACUAUGCAAGCACACGAAGAGAGAGAGAGAGAGAGAGGGAGAGAGAGGACAGAAACCUUCAAAGAUGUCACUGUAAGAUGGAUCACAAACUACCACAAUUUCCUUCACUUCAACCAUGCGUGAGAAAGUGUAGAAACUGAAGAAAAAAUGCAUUUUAUUAUUUUCAGAAGAAAAAACGAGGAUCAGUCAUAAGCAAUGGAAACAACGACCAUUACAACUUUAAACACAUAACUGUUAUUUUGCCUGAGGGCCAGACCUCAGUAACUGAAUCCCACCCAGGGUACCUUUAACCCAAGGUACUAUUCUAAAAUAAACUGAGAAUCACAUUAACAACACUACGGAAAUACUAUAAUGUUUGUUACUGGAUCAAGAAGAAAACUCCAUAUUCCCAGAAAGACCACCUCUCACAUUCUAUUUGAUUUUUCAUACCGAAUGUAACUGAACAUAGGUUACAGAUUAAACAUGGAAGUCCCUCUUAAACCAUACAUCAAUACUUUGAUAGAAAAAAUUAAUAUCUAACACAGGUUGUUGGAAUACUACAAUAUUGUUGAUGCAAGAUAUUGGCAUUUACCUAUACAAUGCAAUGGGUUGACCCAAAAGUGGUAGAUACUGCUUUGGCAUGUUCGCCUAUUGGGACAAACAUAAAAUAACCAUCAUCUGAAAGAAGAAAAUUAAGAACAAUAGGAAUUGAAGAACGUAAUAAACUUAUACAUACAAUAUGGAUAAUACCAUAGCAUUGUAUGCAUAUCCAAACAAUACAAAUAACAGCUCAUAUGAAAAUGAGCCUCUGGAUAAAAACAACAAGAUACUUACACCCAUUCUUUUGCCCUUCCCUCCAGCCAAAAGAAUAACUGAUACACUCUUAUCUUUAACAACGACAGAACCCUGAGAUACAAGAACAUAACAUGAUUAACUGCUAAAAAUGGAUGUGAAGCAACUCAAAGGAAAUAAAUCCCACUGACAUUAUCAACUUUAGCAGAACAUCUAAUCCUGGAUGUUGCAAGCCUGGCCUUCCUUGUCAAGCCAAAGAACUGAUUUUUAUGACCUGAGAAGCACCAAAUUGAAUAGAAAUCACAUCAAAAUAACAAGCAAAAGAUAUGCUUCAUUGCCCAUCAAAAGUUACCAGUUCUGGAGAAAGUUUGGUGGUUGUCUGGGAACAGUGAGAGAGAAGAAGUUGAAGAAGACAGAGCAAGGUUCAGCUGAAGCAGGCCCAUGAGUCUAAUUUGUCAGCUUCACCUUUCUCAGUCAGUCAAAUACCGAAAUUGAAAUAUGCAAAUGAAGAAGUGAAAUGCUGCUGAGAGAUUAAAGCAGAGAAUGUAGUGUGUGUUUGUUGACUCUGUGCAGACGGAGACAAAUCAAAACGAUCAUAAUUCUUGUGCUGUUAAGUUUUUUUUUCAAUUUCUUUCUUUCUUUAUUUAUUAUCUUUUUGAGACAGCCAUCUUUGAAAUAAACAAAGUUUCAUUCACACAACUACCACUCAAAUUCAGAGGGUGAUAAAUAAAUGAACCAAUGGUAAAUUUAGAUAAAUUAAAUUUGAUGAUAAAAAAUAAUUGAAAUUUUAUUUUAUUUAUAUACUUUUGAUAUUUAACCAUAUUGAAUUUAGUUUUCUUACAAAAAUAUCAUCUAGGUCCAUGAGAAAUUGGGAUAGGUGCUUAAAAGUUUGAGCUUUUUCAUUGGGGGAAAAAGAAAAAAGAAAGAAAGAAAGAACAAGUUCAGAUACCUUGAAAAAAAAAUUAGAGCAACAAAUACCUUUUAGCAUAAAAAACUAAUGAAAUAAGAGAUUCGGGUCCAGCUACGGUGUAGUCGGUAUUAUUAUUAUAUCCAAGAUCCAUUUAGAUGGAUGGAUCUAUUAGAAUCCAACUGCUGCUGGAUCCACACCAUAGUUUUCUCCAAGAGAUUCAAUAAGGUCCACCUAAUUUUGAAUUUUUUUUUUAAAAUUGAAUAUUAAUGUUGAAAACGCGGCGUUCGCUAAAAGGGUACUAUAUUUGCAACUCACGGACACUCCCACACUCGAUACAAUCCCACUGCCCACCAUAACCCGUUGACGUAAAAACCCUAAUUCGCCCCUAACGCAUUCUCAUUCGCCUCCCUCCUCCUCGUCCUCCACUCACUGUCACACUUCGCCGCUGGCUGCUGUCCUUAUCGCCGUCCUGUCGUCGCCAACAGUUGCAAAACCCCAAGGUUAGCUUCUUAUAUGCAACUUUUUCCAGUUUUCAAUUUUCAUUUCGCGCCAAUUUCUCUAUACAUGCUUCCAUAUAAUAAAGUCACAACAUUUCUCAGCUUUAGAUCACGAAAGAGGCUCAAAGUCCCCAAGUUUGAGUAGACUGUGUAGACAUAGGCUUAUAAUUAGGUUUAUUGCUUCUGAAAAUAUAAAAAUUCAAUCUUUUUCACAAGUCACCUUAUCUGUCUGAUGUAAGUACGCUUAGGAUUUACGGUGCUGUGGCUUUUUAACUCAUAGCUGUUGUGAAAUUGGUCGCUUGCUGUUAAGUACAGCUGUUCUGUAAGCAUGUGGAGUUGGAAAUUUGUGCUUAAACAUGAUUUCUCAUAUCUUGAAUGUGUGAAUUAUCAUUUUUGAGUUGUUGUAUUUAUUCUAAAUGUUCGGUUUGAGGAUUAUUGUCCAUUUCUCUCUAGUUUAGUCAUUUUCCCAUUAGAAGUUUAUCUACUCAUGGGAAUGCAUGCAGGGUUAAAGAUGAAGAGGAUGAUAGCUCUUGGAUUUGAAGGUUCGGCUAACAAGAUUGGUGUUGGGGUUGUUACGUUAGAUGGAAGUAUUCUAUCAAAUCCACGCCACACAUAUAUUACGCCACCUGGCCAGGGAUUUCUUCCACGAGAAACUGCUCAACACCAUCUAGAACACGUUCUUCCACUUGUCAAAUCUGCUUUGAAAACUGCUGGAAUAACCCCAGAUGAAAUUGAUUGCCUUUGUUACACCAGGGGUCCGGGCAUGGGAGCGCCACUGCAAGUUGCUGCUGUUGUUGUCCGGGUUCUAUCUCAGCUGUGGAAGAAGCCAAUUGUUGCUGUUAAUCACUGCGUGGCACAUAUUGAGAUGGGGAGGAUUGUGACUGGAGCGGAGGAUCCUGUUGUGUUGUAUGUCAGCGGUGGAAAUACCCAGGUGAUUGCUUAUAGUGAAGGAAGGUAUCGGAUCUUUGGGGAGACUAUCGAUAUUGCUGUGGGUAACUGCUUGGAUCGGUUUGCAAGGGUUUUAACACUGUCCAAUGAUCCAAGCCCUGGAUACAACAUUGAGCAGGUAUGUGAAGAUUGGUUUAUUCAACAUUUUUCUUCUUUUCAGAAGGAUUAAAUCCAUUUAGAUUUUAUAUGUAAUUGUAAAACAUUUAGGUAAGGAAUGAUUUAGACCAGUUGAAUUUUUAAGUCUAUAUCUGGGCCCUACCUGUGAAGUGGUUUAAGCAUGUGUCUCGCAAUUCGAGAAUUGUGUUUCUAUUACCUGCUUAUCUUCUGAUCUUCAUUCAUCAUUUCCUGAAUCAUCAUCAUGGAAAUAUAUACAUGCAUUAGGUUAUUUAUCAAAAAUCUUUGGGUACUGGCUUGUGUUUAAUUCUUUGGUUGGUAGAUUGAGUGAUGGGACAGAAGGUCUUCUAUUUUGAAUUGCCUAAUAUGAUUUUCUUCUUUCCCAGCUGGCAAAGAAAGGGGAAAAGUUUCUUGAUCUUCCUUAUGUUGUAAAAGGGAUGGAUGUCUCUUUUAGCGGGAUAUUGAGCUAUAUUGAAGCAACUGCUGCGGAGAAGCUCAACAAUAAUGAGUGCACUCCUGCAGAUUUGUGCUAUUCCCUGCAGGUUAGUUGCAUUUUUUAUCCUUUAAUCCGUUGGAACAGCAUGAGCCAUAGCUUUAAAGACUGCAAUUAUAUCUAGCCAUUCUUCAUGGUCGUUAUAUGAAUCUAAUUGGAAAUUUACAUUUCGCUUGAUGAUGUGUUACAGGAAACUCUUUUUGCGAUGCUUGUGGAGAUCACGGAACGGGCAAUGGCACAUUGUGACAAAAAGGAUGUUCUUAUUGUAGGCGGUGUGGGUUGUAACGAGCGCUUGCAAGAGAUGAUGAGAACAAUGUGCUCCGAGCGGGGUGGAAGGCUGUUUGCAACGGAUGACCGAUAUUGUGUUGACAACGGAGCAAUGAUUGCGUACACCGGUCUGCUUGCUUUUGCUCAUGGUUCAUCAACUCCGUUAGAGGAAUCAACCUUUACCCAGCGAUUCAGGACCGAUGAAGUGCAUGCAGUCUGGAGAGAAAAAGAAGAUUCAGCUUGCAAGAAUGGUAGUCAUUAAGGAAGCUAGCUGAUUCAGAUGGUAGAUUUAGAGGUAGGAUCAUUCUGGCAGUGCCAGCAGUAAUUUAGUAUUAAGCUUGCGAAUGAAUUUUGAUUAAAGAUGUUGUAAAUUUAAAGUAGGAAUCAAAUUAUUUUGUGUUCAAGCAUUUAAAAUAGUUUGUAUUUUCUUCUCAGUAAUGUACAUCCACAAUUUUAAGGAUGAGUUAUAUAAAGUACUCUUAAUUAUAAUGAGAGAUGGUUUAGCGGACGAUGUUAUUUAUGUUAUCGUAUUACCAUGGACAUACGUUGGUUAAUUUACAACUUCAACUCCACUUAUGAGAUUUUAUUAAAUUAUGCCGAUCGAAAGAAGUUGUUCGCUAAAUUGUAAAUCCGUAAAUAUGAAAAUUUUUAUGGGCUAAUGGGCUUGUUUAGUUGAGAUGAGAUGGAGAAUGAAGGCCAGGCCCAAUUAAGCCCAAAAGAUACACAACGCAGCAAACUAAAAGGGCACGAUCAAUUUCGCAGGUUCCACUUUCCAUAUUCCUCCACACGACUGACAGAAGAAGAAGAAGCAUCGAUCGAAAGAGUUAGCGAGUGUUUACAAAAUAAGUGAAAGGAUGGGGCACACAGGCGAGUUCUUCAGGCGGAGAGAUGGGUGGAGAAAGCAUCCACUGCUGACGAGCAAUCUGCGUCAAGCCACCCCAGGACUCGGCAUCGCUCUCGUCGCUUUUGGAAUCUAUCUUGUUGGCGAACAAGUCUACCAUAGGGUCAUCGCUCCUUCUCCUUCUCAUUCUCACCACACCCACCACCAGCACUCCGCUGCGUCCUCUUCUCACUGAAUCUCUUCAGCUCUCCUGCUUCUCUCAGGUCUGUUGUUGAAUUGAAUUGCCCCCACAUUUGACUGCAAAAAUUUCUCUUUUUCUUUUCUGGGUUAUAUUGUUUAAUAACAUUUUGUUAGGUUUGUUUUCGGUGUGAUUUUUUGAGAUUUGGGGUUUUGUUGUGGAUUUUAUGAUAUGGGUAUGUGAUAAAUUUUUAGGUUUUUCUUAGUUUAGUUUAACAAUCUGGUCAGAUUCAUCCAUCGUGCUUCAGCUGCUGACCCUACACAUUUGAAAAUAAAUUCAUCUUCUUGCCUGUUUUUGAUGGAAUUAGCAUUCGUCUGUCUUUUUUUUUUUUUUAAAAAAAAUUAUGAUAUGUUUGUUAACCAUGCGAGUCUGUGUAAAAUUUUGGAUUUUAUGGGUUUUUUGUGAAAUGAAUAUGUCUGAAAUUUAUGUUUUUAUUGAUAUUAAGAUCUAGACGGGUUCACCUGCUCUCUGGCCAGCUGGGUAGUACACUUCAUUUCUUUUGCAUUUUAUGUAUUAUGCUUAUUUCCUUGCUAUUGGUGCUAGAUUUCGGAUUUUCUGGUACUUUAUGACGUGUUUGUAUAUAGUUAGGUUUUUAUUUGUAUUAUGGCCACAUUGGUUUCAUUGCUCUCAUAAUUUCUGUUUGCUAAGUCAUACUCAUUUGACGUGCAUCAUAUGGUUAUUGUCUUGUUUAUUCACAUGAUCUUUAGUUGAGCCAAAUGUGUAGAGUUGUUACUGUUCAACAGGGGUUUCUAUUUAGUAAUCACUCCAUGUGAAGCAGUCCCUCUUUUUCCUUAUGCAAUGUUGCUGCUAUUUCAUUCAAUUUGACUAUGAUUUUGUUGUUUAUAGCUAAUUGAUCAUCAUUGAUGGAGGAAUGUUAUGAAAUUAAGUUGUAUUAAAUACUAAAUAUAGACAAUUUGGGUAGGCAUAAGACGAAUGGAAAAUGUUUGUUCUUAGAUGCUGGGCAGUAAGUUAUUUACUUACACUGAUGAAGUUAUAACUAACACUAGUUUCAUAUGGCUGAGUGAUUUACUUGUAUGGUUAUGUUAUCUGUUGGGAAUGCAGUUGUGGGGAUUAGCUGGUUCCACCGGCAAGUUCUUUUUCACUUUGAUGGGGUGUGUUAGGAAUGAAUGACAUUCAAACUGUGGAUUUGAUGCCAGGGGCUUUUCAACUCUAUGGAGGGCAGGGGAUAAGGGUCGCAAAGAACACCUUGGAGAUUGUCAUUUCUAGGAUGAGCAAUAAUACCCUUCUGAAAAUUCAUUGGUUUUUCAGUGUUUGAUUUAUGACCAUCCGAUUUCUGAUCCUACAAUUUUUUGGGCUAAUUUAGAAAUCAUAUGGUGUUAAAUACUGUAUCUUAUUUGGUAGUAUUUUACGAAAUAAUAUACGAAAUAAUAUUUGCUUAUGAUUGACUUUACAAAACAAUAUCCGGUGUGCUUGUAUUAACCCUGCUGUGUUUUCGGAAGGCUUGCAAGUAAUUUUACAGUACAGAGGGCUGCUUUGUUAUUCUGUUAGUUGGUUAUUGAUGUAGAACAGGCCGUAGCUUGGACAGUUUUUUCUUUAUUUGUUCUUUAUUUUAAGUUUUUUUUUUUUUUUAAUUCUGUCUGUAGAACUUUAUUGUGUUAAAAUAAUUUGAAUUUACACAGUUUGGUAAAUUCACGUUAUUUAGUGUUUUAGUAUAAAAGGGAGCUGAACCCUAUUUGUUUUGGUUGGUUGAUUCAUAAUAUUAAAAAAAAAAUCGUUUUGAGAAGAUUUGUUCUUUCUUUACUUUCAUGUUGUGUCAGUUAUCCCCAUUAAAGUUUACAAUUGCCCUUUAUUAUUCUUUGACGAGGAGCUUUUGCGAAUCUCUGAUUUAAGCUGACAGAAUUGUUACAUGCAAAUUUAAUAUGAUCAAACAGAUCCUCUAUCUAGCCCUCCUAGUUAUGUAUCUAUCUUGAUUAUUUUCUUAAUAGGUGGCUGAAGAUGGUGGUCACAUGUUGGAAGAGGAUUGAAGUUUGGACCUGUUUUCAUUUCCCAUUUUGUUAUUUGAUUUAAUAAGAUCAACUUUGCCAUGUUUAGUGUUACUUUGUUGUGUAUUAAGUUUAGUGUGUUAGACUUGAUCUGAUAUGUAGAUGUUUAAUCUUUUGCUUUUGAUAUCGUUAUGCAUUCAAUGGCUCUACAUUUGGUGCCUGAAAUGUUUCGAAUAAAGAAGUUUCCUGUUAUAAAUAUAUUGUCUUAUUUAUUUAAUUUUUUUUGGUCAAGUUCUCAAUUUUUAUGCAUAACGUUUUUAUGGUUCGUUUCCUGAUCUUAAAUUUUUUGUACCAUUCAUUGAAAAAAGAAAUGUAACUUAAAAUGAUGACUUAAAUUUUCAUUCGUUUCAUUUCAUUCAAUCUAAAGGUGUAUAUUUUUUUGUCAAAAAUCUGCAAUGAGUCACCUUUAUUCUUGUAUUAUUGAAAUGAAUAGAUCAGCCGAAUGAAAGUUUAAUUAAAAGAUUGAAUAGAUUAAAUGGAUGAAAAUUGAAGUAAAAUGUUGAAGUUAAGGAGCCCUAAAAGUUAUAGAAGAAACUCGAUGAGAGUAACGUUGAAAAUAUGUUAUCUGUUAUGGUUGAAAAUAUGUUAUCCGUACUUUAAGAACUUUCGGAUUUUUUUGUAUGUGUGUAGUUCUUUUCUAACGCAAGUGUCUUCAUUUUUUUUUAUGCAAGACAUUUUUUAAAUCAUAAGAUUUAAGAGAGUUAGGUUGUGUUUGUUUUUUUAUUUGAAAUUUGAAUAUGUAUGAAUUUAACUGAAGUCUGAAUAGGUUUGAAUGAAAAUAUCUUAGUGACAUAUUUGUUUUUUUGUUUUCAACAUCUAAAGAGAAAGAUUUAAAAGAUAAGAGUUUGACAUAAAUAUCAUUUUAAGUGGUGCAUAUAUUUGUUCUUCACAAUUUAUGAUUUUCACAGGUUGAUUAAUUUGGUAGCAUUAAAAAAAAAAAUACUAUCAUUGUUGAUCUUAAUUUAAUUUUUUAAUAAAAAAAUGUAAUAAUAACAUCAAAUUUUAUUAUAAAAUCAAAACUGUUAUUUUAUUUUUUAUUUAUCACAAUGGACAUAAUUUGAUUUGUUCAAUAUUUCAGUUUAGUUAAUGUUAUCAUGUGAAUAAAAAUUUAAACCAAUUAAAAAAAUAACUUCAAGAAUAAUAUAAAAAUAUUAAGGUUAUACAUAAUAUUGAAAAUACAUGAAUUAUUAAGGGUAUUUUUGAGAUUUGAAAUUGAAAUUUUACAUUUAGACUUCACACUUCAAAUAAAAGUGGAAUUUUUCUACUUUUUCUAUUCAGAUAAAAUUGUUUGAUAAUAAGUGAUAAGUUAAAAAAAAAAUAACCUAAAAUAAAUAAAUAUCUGAAAAAAAAUAAAUUCAGACUUCAGACUAAAAAAUAAAUAGUAUCUUAAUUUUUAAUUAUUUUAAAUCAUAUAAUUUAAGAACGUGUCUGCAUUAUAAAAAAAUAUAUAAACGCUCGUACUUAAAGAUAAUUAUACAAAAGAGUAUGCGUAGAGUGGAAGGAUAUAAUUAUUAUAUCCUGAAUGAACAAACCACCAGGCCAGCUCGAUUUUUAUUAUGAUAAUUCCUAGAGCCGUUAAAUAAGAAAUUUACAGUUUAUGGCGGGGCCUCAUAAUAAAAAAUUAUUAUUUUAACUAGUGGAAAAGAACAAUAUAUUUAAAUUGGUCUUGGAGAAUGGUCGGUGAAUGAAGCCAAAUUAAAUUUGCACGAAAAAUCCAAGAACAUGUGAGACUUGCUGCAAUUAUUGUAUUAUGUGUCCUCCGCUAUAAUUCAAGCAAAUGAAAUCCGUGACAAUAUAUAUGUAAUCAAGUAGCUGGUCCAAGGCGCAUAAAAAAAAAAAAAAAAGGGGUAGCUGGUACAUCCGCCUUGGCCGUACAGCAGAAGGAAUGAAAUAAAUAAGAAUAUUUUAAAAAAAUUUAAUUUUUUUUAAUAUAAAAACUCUACAACUUCAAAAGUCUAAAAACUUAAACUUUUGUUAAUAAAAAUAAAAUAAUUUAUUUAAUCUCUAAAAAUUCAACUCAAAAUUCGAUCAAACAAUACUAAAAAUUUUGAAAAGAUCUUUAAAAACGAAAUAAAUAUUUUUAAGCAUUAGAAAAGUUAUAUUAAACAUGCACUUAUUACAUAUAUAGACGGAUUAAACAUGCACUUAUACGAGGAACAUUAUCCAACCCCUGGGGACUUGGAACUCAUAUCCUAAAUGUUGAGGGCAUGCGUUCUCACCUAUGCCCCUAGAGGGAAGUCACUUAUCUAUGACGGUUACUUUGCCAUAAAUAUCUGUUUACGGAAGAGCAAUAUUCACCAUACAAAACCUCUAGUUGGAUAAGCCCUCUCCUUUUAACUUUUUUUUUCGAUUUUUUGAAUACACACACACACACACACACACACACGCACACAAAUCAUAAUUGAAGCGCCAUCGAUAUAAUUAGGAGAACUUGCAACGAGAGAAGCUGCUGGCAUCUCCCAAACAAGCUUGAAAAAGAGUUAUGAUGAUACUCUUCUUCACCGCGAAUCAAUCUUGUGCUGCAGGCAACGGCACCAACAUUACUAAUUUCCAUAUUGAUCCUGAUGUGUUGUUCUUUUAUGAUGAUCCAGAAUCGGAAUUGGCUGCUGCCGCGACUGCAACAAACGUAUUGAAUAUGAAAUCCUUGAAGCGGCCUCCGGUGUUCGAUUGCGGAAAAGGCCAAGGCCCAGCCUAUCGCUCUUGUACCCCUCCUCCCCAGGGUUCCAAAAGGGGUGAACAUUGCAAACCUGCACCCGGCGGCACGUACAAUCGAGGGUGCAAUUAUUAAGCCUUAAGUUUGUACUGCUGCAUCCAUGCAUAUGCAUUAAUAAAUAAAUUAAUUGAAACUUCUAAUUUGUUUAGCACUAAUUAAUUCGUUGUUAAAUUAGCUAAGGUUACUCCAUCUUGAUGCUAUCGUUCAUGUUCACUCAUUUCAAUUCUACCAUACUCGUCCUGAAUUUAUUAACUUUCCAUGUGCGUGCGUAUUAACAGCCUGGAGAAGUAAUUAAUUAAUUGAUUAACCAUUGAUGGCAUUUUGCAUCGAGCUGGACCUACUCUUAAUUACCGGCCUCUCGAAGGGAAACCCGCUACGAUAUAAAUCAAACAACUGAACGUACAACUUCAUUACAUUUCCCGCAAAAAUGCCCCUAACAUUCAAUGAUUUAUCUGCUCCCUCCCAUCAUGCCUUAAUUAAUUGUUGCCACAACAUCAUCCCGAAUGUUGUAAUUACAAUUAAUUAUAUAUGUUAGCUAUUUUUUCUUUUUAAUAACUAAUUUUACAGAGACAGAUACAAUUAGUGUGGCGCAUGGGAGGAUGUUAGUUGAAACUUGGAAGCGAUAUCAAUUAAUCCAUCACGCUUUUGUCCAACUUCUAUAUAUCUUCACGAUUGUGAAAUCUAUUAUUUCUUUUCCAUUCACUUCUUGUGAUACAUUGUCCGCCCCGCGUGUUAGCCUUGACUUAAGCCAUCUUCCAACCUAAGCCCAUUGUUUGAGAAUUAAUCUCAGUUAAAGGGGCAGCUGAGACUUGAACCAUGAACUUUGAAGGUCACGUAGGUGGUGUCGUCCAUGUGCCAAGUAUACGUCAAUCAAACUUUUAAGUAAUUAUUGGUUGGGCGAAAAUGAAAGCAAAGUGCAUAUUUAUGACUAGUUGUAGAAGAGAGCGAAAGGGCAGAACGAGCGUAUAUAGGGAGCUUUUGAUGACUUGGCUCAAAGAAAGGCAGUUCUAUAUUUAUACACGGAGAAAUUAUAAAAGUGCAAGUCGUUUUUGGUCAUCUUGAUUUUUGUCCGAGAUCAAAUUUUUUUCAAAUAGUUUUAUUUAAGUGGUCAUUCAAAUUCAAAUUAAAAUUCAUGGGGAGAUUAGUAAUAAGAAAAGAAAUUUAGCCUUUACCCACUCCCCUUAUUUUUUUCAGAAUGAGACUAAUAAGUUCAUUAAAACUUAUCAGAUAGAACAAAUUCGGAAUAUUUUGAAGAAUGACAAUUACAAUGAAGAGUACAAAUAAUGAUGAAUGCACCUCCUACUCCUCUUCGUGACACAAGGCAAUUAGGUUAUGAUAUUUUUAAUUAAAGAAAAGAAAAAAAUCAAGCCUUACCUAAAAGCAAUUGGUAGUAAAAUUUUAGUGGAGAAUCUAAAGAAUUACAUAUCCGUCAUUUUCUAUGAUUUCUGUGAGGACCACUUUUUUUUUAAAAAAAAAUUUCACUCUCUCCUAUAGGAUGAGCAAUAAUACCCAUCCGAAAAUACAUUGGUUUGUCGCUGUUUGAUAAAUGACAAGCGGAUUUCUCGUCCCACAAUUUUUUUGGUCCAAAUGAGAAAUAAUAUGGUAUCAACUACUGUAUCUUGACUGGUAUUAUUUUAAGAAAUAGCAUUUGCUUACUAUUUGACUUAACAAAACAAUAUCCAGUGCGCUUGUACUAACCCUGCUGCGUUUUUUUCACAAUAUCUAUUUCUAUUCUUUGCUGAGGACUUUUGUGAAUCUGUGAUAUAAGCUGGCGGAAUCGCUGCAUCCAAAUUUAAUAUGAGAAAACAUAUCCUCAAGCUAGCCCGCUUAACGCGCAGCGGAUAUUAGUAAUAAGAAUGACCAUAGCACAGCCACAGAAACGGCGCAGCCCCAUUCUAUCAUUUUUGUGCCCCCUCCUCAAACUUUUUUGAUAAUAAUUUUUGAUAUCACUCUUUAUUUCACCAUACUCUAUUUUGAUUAAUUCGAUUUAUUUCUCAAAUUACUCCCAUUAAAAAUAUUUUAUCUCUAUUGUUUCUCACUUGCUCUUCUCGUUAUAUUUCAACUAAUGGUACAACAAUCGAAAUGGAAAUUAUGGAAUCAGAAUCAAUGACAUGUUUACUUGCAAAAUUAAGGUUUGGGAUUGGAACUGAAAUAGUAUCGGACCUACAAAUUUGAGAAUCACUACCAUAGUUCUGAUUCCAAAGCGAGGGGUUUAGACUCUGAAUUCGAUUUCUAUAACUACCCAUUUUACUCCCAUUAAACUUUUAUAAUCUCUAAAUUACUCUCAAUUAAGUUCUGUCAUUUUUUUCUUUUUGGUUCCCAUGGAAUUUAUCAAAAAAACUCAAAUUUCUUGAAUUAUUUACAAAUAGGUCAUUUAUUGUUUAUAAUAAUGUAAUAAUAAUAUUAUAUUAUUAUCAUUAUUAUAUUUAAAAUUUAUUUAUUUUAUUAUUUUUAUUAUUAUUAUUGUCAUUAAUUUCAUCAUCAUCAUUAUUAUUAAAUUUUUUUAUUUAUUUUUUUUUUAGGAAAACAAGGUACACAUAAAUAGCUAGACAAAGAGAAUCUCUUGUAUAUAUCAAGAGAUCUUACAAGUUAAACUGAACCAAACUGAGACCAUCAUACAAUUGAUGGGUAAUAACAGUACCCAUACUUUUAUUUUCUUAAACAUAACAUAAGAGACUAAUACUGCAUAUUCUUAACCAGUGUGAUCAGGGUUUCUUCCAUAUUGUGGGACUACAAGAAGAUCAAUAUUUCCAUUAAUUUCAUCAUCAGCAAUAAGUGAAAACCAUGGGGGGGCCCCACCCUCCGACCAAUCGGUAUAACCUGAAAAAUUCAUGUUAUAAAACUUAAUCACAAAUACACAUAUUAAAAUAAGAAUUAUAAAUGACAUUUAUUUGAAAAUGCAUGGCCUAUGUAUAAACCUGCGCAAGGAGUUCCCAUAAUCUUCAAAUCAGGAAGGCAAAAGAUUUCUGCUGGCUUCGACUGAACCGUAUUCAAAACUCAAAAGAAAAGAAGCUGUGCUUGAGCGAGUUCUUAUUUCUGGUUUGAUCUGAUAUAUAUAGAUCAAGUAGCCGACACUACAGUGAGAAUAUAGCAAAGUAACAAGUUGUGCAUCGUAAAGAUAAUGGAUCAGUGGUUCUAAUUUAAUCGUACAAUAGGUAGGGAAGGUCAACAGCUCUAUAUGGUUAAGUUAGUGCAUGUGCGAUACAUGGUUCAAAAAAUAAAUAAUUCUAAAUACGAAGGACACGAGCAAAUAAAGUAAUAAAUGCAAUUACCAAAUAAUAGUGCGUGGUAUACUAUAGAUAAUGGAUCAACCAUUCAGAUUUCAUCAUACAAUAAGUAGGUAAGAUUAACUGUUAGUGUUAAAUCAUUGCAUGUGCGAAACAUGGUCCACAAAAUAAAUAGUAGUAAACAAGAAAGACGAACAAAGUAAUCAAAUACCAUGUCAUCAGAUAAAAAGAAAAAAAAGAAAGGUAUAAAUACCAUUACCAAACAAUUGCUUGGUAAAGAUAACAGAUUUACCGCUGAAGUCUGAUAAUUGUAAGAUUAACGGCUAUAUAUGGUUCAACUGCAUGUGUAGAUAAAGUAUGAAUCAAUGGGUCCAGGAAAUAAAUAAGAAGACCACAAGCAUAGUGGUCCAAAAAAUAAAUAAGAAGCGAACUGACGAUACAUAUAGAUCAAGUAGCCGACAGUGCCAACGUAUCAAAUAAACAAGUCAUGCAUGGUAAAGAUAAUGGAUCAACGGUCCAAGUUUAAUCGUACAAUAACUAGGUAAGAUUAAGGGCUCUGUAUUGUUAAAUGAUUGCACGUGCGAAAUAUGGUCCAAAAAAUAAAUAAUUGUAAAUAAGAACGACGAACAAAUUAAGUAAUUAGUACCAUUACCGAACACAGUGCAUUGGAAGGACUGGCUUUCUUCCUUUUUAUGAGAGCAAAGAACGAAAUUUUGUAAUAGUUUUACUUAACAGCUGAAAGUUAAUUUCAUUUUUAUAUCUUUCUUUUCCUUCUUUAUUUCUUAUAUUUUUCUGUUAUUAUUAUAAUUUCUCUUUUAUGUCAGUACGAGAGGCGUGUAAUUGUUUUGGUUUACUAAACCCUUAAUUCUCUUUCUAUACAACAUCAAAUCUAACUAUCCUUGUAAAGCUUUAAAAUAGUCGAUUAUAGUUAAUUAUUUGAAAAAUAAUAACCAAAGUAAAUAAGUAUUUUAUUUUUUUCGGUGUAUUAAACUAUCUAGUAUCUAAAGACCACAUUGGACCCCGAUUAAUUUAUAUUCGAGACAGGCAUGACCACUGAGGUGGCAAAGCUCUCCCAACAAAUAUUUAACGCAACUGUACUCCCAAGUCUCGAACUGAGGACUUUAGUUAAGUUAAAACAACUCUAUGCCAACUGAUCUCCGCGCUUGAUAGAAGUAAAUAAGCAUUUUAGUUAUCACAAUUAAACUCUUCUUUAGCAUUUAAUAGAAGUAGUUCUAUGAGCAUGGGUUUCGAGAGAGCAUGGCGGUGCGAAAAUGUUCGUGCGUUUACAGUCCCUAUGUUUUUAGUCAUAAUUUAUUUAGAUAUAGACAAAGACCCCUAAUGUUUAAAAAAUAGACACACAAAUGGCCCUUUUGAUUAUUUCACUCUUUGGUUCUAUUUAUCCAACGAAAAUUAAUUUCAAUCUAUUGUUCUAUAAUAAAUAUAAAUAUAGUAUUUAAAUCAGUGUAAUAAAUAAAUACAUUUUACAAUACAUAAACGUUAUUUGAGUUCUUUGCAAGAAUUAGCUAACCACUAUGCGGAGUUUGUUUAAGAAAAAUAUUGAAGAAGAGACAGCAUAAUUAAGCUGAUAGUAGAUAUAUAGCUAGACAAAGUUAAUCGACGUUAACAAACUGAUACACAAUACUUUUUUUUUUCUUAAAAGGAAAAUAUAGUACACGUAAAUAGCUAGACAAAGAGAAUCAAUUUGUAUAUAUCAAGAGAUCUUACAAGUUAAACCGAUCAAGAGAUCUUACAAGUUAAACCGAACCAAACUGAGACCAUUAUACAAUUGACGGGUAAUAACAGUACCCAUACUUUUAUUUUCUUAAACAUAACAUAAGAGACUAAUACUGCAUAUUCUUAACCAGUGUGAUUAGGGUUUCUUCCAUAUUGAGGGACCAGAAAAAGAUCAAGAUUGUCGUUAGUUUCAUCAUUAGCAAUACCCAUUUCGGGAAUCGGAAUCCAUUUCGACCAAUCGUUAUGACCUGAAAAGUUCAUAUUAUAAAACUUAAUCACAGAUACAUAUUAAAAUAAGAAUUAUAAUGAUAUUUAAUUGAAAAUGCAUGGCCUAUAUAUAAGCCUGCGCAAGGAGUUUCCGUAAUCUUCAAAUCAGAAAGGCAAAAGAUUUCUGCUGGCUUCGAUUGAACCGUAUUCAAAACUCAAAAGGUAAGUAGUUGCGCUUGAGCGAGUUCUUAUUUCUGGUUUGAUCUGAUAGAUAUAGAUCAAGUAGCCGACACUACAGUGAGAAUAUAGCAAAUAAGCAAGUCAUCACGCUAAAGAUGAUGGAUCGACAGUUCAAGUUUAAUCGUACUAUAAAUCGGUAAGAUUAACGGCUCUGUAUGGUUAGAUUAUUGCGUGGUUGAAACAUUGUCUAAAAAAUAAAUAAUUCUAAAUAAGAAGACGAACUGACGAUCAAAGCAAUAAUACCAACCAAUAAUGCAUGGUAGGGAUAAGAUAACGUAUAUAUAUCCACGGCUGAAGUUUCAUGGUAAGAUUAACGGCUAUAGAUGUUUCAAUUAAUGGGUCCACGAAAUAAAUAAUUGUAAAUAAGAAGUCAUGCAAAAUAAAUAUUCUUUCAACUGCAAUUCGAGUCCGUCCAAUUUUAAAUAAGAUUUGGGUGGAAAGUAGAUGUCCUUCUCGUUAAUUGGGUGGAAAGUAGACGAUUAUUAUUAUGGUCUUCUUAUUUAUUUCGCUGACCCAUUGAUUCCUACUUCCACAUGCAGUUGAAACGUAUAUAGCCAUUAAUCUUACAAUUAUCAAACUUCAGCCUUACGUGUGUUAUCUUUAUACUUUUUUUUUUUUUUGAUGAGAUGGUAUUUAUUACUUUGUUCCCCUAUCUUAUUCACAAUUAUUUAUUAUGUAGACGUUUCGCACAUGCAAUAAUUUACUUAUUGUACGAUCAAACAUUACCUCGUUAUUGUAGGAUGAAACCUGAGUUGAUCCAUUAUCAUGCAUUAUUUCUUUUUGUUUUUGCUUUGUUUUUUUUUUUCUUUUUUUGGUGGCUACGUUGGCGCUGUAGUGUCGGCUACUUGAUGUAUAACCAGAAAUGAAGUUAAAGGCUGAAGUUAAGAUAAGAUCACAUUUCUACGGCUGAAGUUAAGAUAAGAAAACGAACUGACUAUCAAAGAAAUAAUACCAACCAAUAAUGCAUAGUAAGGAUAUAUAAGAUAACAUAUGUUUCAUUGUGAGCUUAUCGGCUGCAUAUGUUUCAAUUGAUGAGUCCACGAAAUAAAUAAUUGUAAAUAAUAAGUCAAGCAAAGUAAAUAUUCUUUCCUUAUCAUCUGGUAAAAUGUGUUUCUAUGGCCAAAAUUAUUGUGCGUGGAGACUGAGAGUAAUUUGGUGGUAACUAAGAGGGAAAAGGAUUGUUACACUCGAUAGUUUAUUUCAAUAUACACAUAGACCCUUAAUGUUCAAAACAUAAUCACACAGAUGGCCCUUUGACUAUUUUACUCUUGGACUCUAUUUACCCAACAAAAAUUGAUUUCAAUCGCAUGUUUUAUAAUAAAUAAAACUAUAAUAUUUAAAUCAAUGUAAUAAAUAAAUACACUUUCAGUUAAAUUUAAUAUUAAAAUAUGUUGUACUUAUUUAUCAAUAUUAAAAUUUUUUAUAAACAAGGUUAAAAAAAUUAAUAAUUUGUUGAAUAUAUUUAUACAAAUUCCUACCCUAUUAAGGAUUUCAUGAUACGCAAAAGGAAAAAAAGUAACAUUUAGAAAAAUGAUGGGGCAAAUUUGCACUCCAAUAUAUAUUUUGGACACUCUAAAAUUUUACAUUACUAAAAUAACGGUAAUCUAAUCUACUAUUCAGGACAUUAAUAUAUUUUAAGAAAAUUUUAAUUCCCUUAAAACUCACUAUUAUACGUAGAAGAAUUAAAUUUCAAGUCUUUUUUCCUCGUCAUCAUCCAAUUUAGUGCCUGCUUGGUAUUGCUUUUGGAAACUUUAAAAGUUAUUUUAAAAAACUAAGUGCUAAUUUUGAUGAAGUUCAUGUUAUCUAAUGCUUGUAAUAGUUUUUCCCUUUUUUAAAGAUGUUAUUCUUUUGGAAUAUACCAAUAUCAAUGAGCCAGAAAUGUUCUUGCAACAUUGAAUUAGUUUAUAAAUUUAAAAAUGCAUGAUCUAAAAUCCUAUGCCUUGCUUAUCUAAUUUGAACUUGCAUAGUGCUCAUAUGAUUACAUUCAUAAGCUCUUAUCAAAAUUUAGUUGUUGUUUAGUUGUUUUUUAGUAAAGUUUUUAAAGAUUAAAUAAGUUAUUUUUGUUCUACUAGCAAAAGCUAUAAUUUUGGGCAUUUGGGAGCAGACGUAGAAACGUUUUUUUUUUUAAUUAUUAAAAUGUCUAAAAUAUUCUUUAUUUAUUUGACAAUUUUAUUUCAUUUAUUUUAUAACAUAACUUUCAAAAGCUUAUUUAUUAAAGUAGUUUUACAAUUCUAAUAAAAGCUCUUAUUGACAACCAAAUAACUAAAUUUUUUUUAGCACAAGCUCUAUUUGUAAGAGCUCUACUAACAAAAGUUCUACUUCAAUAAGCUCUAUUUGAAAACUCUGCCAAACUAAGCCUUAUUUUUGAACUCAUCUCCUAAUGCUCGAUCGAAAACAAUUCUAUUGCAAAAUUAAUGCAAUGCAUGUUCAAUAAUUUUGUCUAGAUUUCCCAGGGUUGAACAUUCGUUAAGCACCCGUAGUAAUAGCAAUUUCAAAUUCGCGCAAUGCAUCUGUUCAAAUUAUCAUUAUAAUUCAGUUGAAAUUUUUUUUAGAACUUAUGUCAAGUCAAGGUCCCAAGUGUUACGGUGAAUUCAGCUCCGGCUAUACCCUUCCUGAGUUUAUUACUUUUCCGUGUGCGUACGUAAUAACAGCCUGGAGAAGUAAUUAAUUGAUUGAUUAACCAUUGAUGGCAUUUAACCGUCCUCUUGAAGGGAAACCAGCUACGAUAUAAAUCAAACAACUGAACGUACAACUUCAUUAGAUUUCCUACAAUAAUGGCUAACAUUCAAUUUCAAUGAUUUAUCUGCUCCCUUCGAUCGACCAUGCCUUAAUUAAUUGUUACCACAACAUCAUCCCGAAUGUGGUAAUGACGUAAAUUAUAUAUUUUAGCUAUUUUUCUUUUUAAUAAAUAAUUUUACAGACACAGAUACAAUAAGCGUGGCAUAUGGGAGGAUGUUAGUUGAAACUUGGAAGCGAUAUCAGUUAAGCCAUCAUGCUUUUGUCCAACUUCUAUCUUCACGAUUAUGAAACCUAUUGUUUCUUUUCCAUUCACUUCUUGGGACAUGAGUAAUAAUAUAGCCACAAAUUCUUGUACAAGCUUAUCUUAUACAAACUGAUGUGGCAGGAUAAAAUUGAUUAAAUUAAAUAUUACUUGACCCACAUGAUUUAUUUUCAUUAUUUUGUAUUUUCAUUCAACCAAUGAAUUAAUGCCGAAUCAGUUUGUACAAAAUAAAUUUGUACAAAAAUUUGUGAUUGUAUCAUCACUCCUUAUGAUAUAUUGUCCACCCCACGUGUUAGCCUUUAAUUAUGCCAUCUUGCAACAUAAGCCCAUUGUUUGAGAAUUAAUCUCAGUUAAAGGGGCGGCUGAGACUUGAACCAUGAACUUUGAAGGUCACGUAGGUGGUGUUGUCCAUGUGCCAAGUAUACAUCAAUCAAACUUUAAGUAAUUAUUGGUUGGGCGAAAAUGAAAGCAAAGUGCGUAUUUAUGACUAGCUGUAGAAGAGAGCGAAAGGGCAGAACGAGCGUAUAUAGGUAGCUUUUGAUGACUUGGCUCAAAUAAAGGCAGUUCUAUAUUUAUACACGGAGAAAUUAUAAAAGUACAAGUCGUUUUUGGUCAUCUUGAUUUAUGCCCCAGAUCAAAAUUUUUUUAAAAUAGUUUUAUUUAAGUGGUCAUUCAAAUUCAAAUUCAAAUUCAUGGGGAGAUUAGUAAUAAGAAAAGAAAUUUAGCCUUUACCCACUCCCCUUAUUUUUUUCAGAAUGAGACUAAUAAGUUCAUUAAAACUUAUCAGAUAGAACAAAUUCGGAAUAUUUUGAAGAAUGACAAUUACAAUAAAGAGUACAAAUAAUGAUGAAUGCACCUCCUACUCCUCUUCGUGACACAAGCCAAUUAGGUUAUGAUUUUUUUUUAAUUAAAGAAAAAAAAUAAAAAUCAAGCCUUACCUAAAAGCAAUUGGUAGUAAAAUUUUAGUGGAGAAUCUAAAGAAUGACAUAUCCGUCAUUUUCUAUGAUUUCUGUGAGGACCACUUUUUUUUUUUUAAAAAAAAAAAAUUCACGCUCAUCACAAGUUGAUUUGUUUUGUCAUUUGUGAUUGCGGGGUGUGUGUCUUCUUUUGGUUUGAUGCCUCACUGAUCUGAUCCGCAAUCUUAAACUUUAUUAAAAUUUAAAAAAAUUAUCAAGUUAUAUGGUUUAAUUUACAAUUUUUCUCUAUUUCUCUACUUGUAAAUUUUACAUUUUUUAAUAAAAAUUAUUAAAGUCUCUGAGCUAUUAAGGGUAUUUAUGACAUUUUCCUACUUGUAAUUAAUUUAAUCAUUAAAAGUAUAUAAGUUUUUUCUGGAUUUAUAUUCAAACAUAUUUAAAUUUUAUAAAAAUAAAUUAAUGUCUUAGUUAAGCUUUCUAAUUUUUUUUUUCUGCUCGACGAAUUUAUAAAGACGUCGUUUUUAAGAAGGAAAUAAUUUCUCUUUAUCUUUUUACUGCUUGAUUGGAACUCGGGAAUUGAAAAAAGGAAAGGAUCGAUGUUGAAGGAAAGAGUUGGGUAUGGAAAUAAAAUUGUAUCCCUUUAUAAACUCAUUAAAAAUCAAAUUGAAUGAAUUUAAUUAUUAAUAAUUAGGUUACAAUAUAAAAUGAAAUCUUAAGCUUUCAAUUUUUUUUUCUAGAAAUUAAUUUUAUGAUUAGAUUAUUGAAAGCUAAAGAAAAAUUAGGAGGGGGAAAACUAGUAGGGAAUCCAAAUCCUAUUCUUAUUAAUUAAUUAUAAGCUCUAUUUUUUUUUAAUCAAGUCCAAAAUUUUCCUUGUUUUUUUUUUUCUUUUUAAAUACCCAAAACUAAAAAGCAGGGCAUGCACUCUGUUUAUAUUUCUAUGAAAUCGUUGUUCAUUAAGCAAAUUUCUUCCUCUAAGUUCAGAUAAUUUCAUGAUUUGUCACUUACUGCACCGAAUAAAAAGAUAAAGAAUCAAAAUUCAAAAGGACAUCUUUUAUGUGUAAAUACACAUCAAAUCUCUUUUAUUAAUCAAAUUUUUUUGAUUAUUAAUAAAAUAGGCUACAUAGCAUAUUAUAUUUUUUCUCCCUCAGCUAAAAUACUAAUAUAUUACCAAAUUAAUUCGUAAACGGAAAUUAAGAAAGUUAGAUCUCCAGUGAUUGUCCGUGCAAUCUCUGACUUGGCGGCACUGGAUUUUAUCAUUGCUUCAUUGUUAAAAUUUCCCGUGAAGGACGUAUAAAUUGCUGCCAUGGUGACCUUUGCAAAGGAUGUGACCAUUGCUGCGCUGGAUAAUACUGCUGGGGAUGUGAACAUUGCUGUGCUGGGUGUAAAAUGCAAGGGAUAUGAAUGUAAUUGGAGAUCGUUUUCAUUUUUGUUUGUCGUUUUCGCUUUUUCAAGGUUGGUAAAUGGAGAGUGAAGAAACAGCAGAUCACCAAGGAGGAUUCACUAACUUUCGUGAAUUUAGGGAGGGGUUUCCUUGAGAUUAUGUGCCUGAUUGGUACAACUUAUUUAAUAAUCACAAGUGUUUAUUUAAUCUCAUCAGCUCUUAUUUUAAUUUUUAUUAUUGUUUGGUUUUUUUUUUAAUAGAACUUUUGAAAUUUAAAUAAGAUAGUUUGUCUUUUCUAAUAAAAUCUCAAAUUUUGUUGGGCAUAGGACGAAUGAAAAACAUUUGUUCUUAAACACCUUUUCCUAGUUUCAAAUAGAAGUGAGAGAGAGUUGAUGCUAAAAAGACCGCCAGACUUAUAUUUUUCCAUGAGAAUUAUGUAUUAUGUGGAACUAAUUUUAAUUUACUUUCGUGAUCUUGUUACAAUGUUAGCUCUUUGUUCAUGAAUUGAUUAAUACGUGUUUCUUUUUACUCAAAAGUCUUCAUCUUAUUAACUUGCAUCAUCUUUUUCUUCUUCUUUUUCUCCGCGUGGUCUUCAAUCACCUAGUUUCUCUCCUACAGGAUGAGCAAUAAUACCCAUUCGAAAAUACAUUGGUUUGUCGCUGUUUGAUUUAUGACAAGCGGAUUUCUCAUCCCACAAUUUUUUUGGUCCAAAUGAGAAAUAAUAUGGUAUCAACUACUGUAUCUUGACUGGUAUUAUUUUAAGAAAUAGCAUUUGCUUACUAUUUGACUUAACAAAACAAUAUCCAGUGCGCUUGUACUAACCCUGCUGCGUUUUUUUCACAAUAUCUAUUUCUAUUCUUUGCUGAGGACUUUUGUGAAUCUGUGAUAUAAGCUGGCGGAAUCGCUGCAUCCAAAUUUAAUAUGAGAAAACAUAUCCUCAAGCUAGCCGGCUUAACGCGCAGCGGAUAUUAGUAAUAAGAAUGACCAUAGCACAGCCACAGAAACGGCGCAGCCCCAUUCUAUCAUUUUUGUGCCCUCUCCUCAAACUUUUUUGAUAAUAAUUUUUGAUAUCACUCUUUAUUUCACCAUACUCUAUUUUGAUUAAUUCGAUUUAUUUCUCAAAUUACUCCCAUUAAAAAUAUUUUAUCUCUAUUGUUUCUCACUUGCUCUUCUCAUUAUAUUUCAACUAAUGGUACAACAAUCGAAAUGGAAAAUUUAGAAUCAAAAUCAAUGACAUGUUUACUUGCAAAAUUAAGGUUUGGGAUUGGAAUUGAAGUAGUGUCGGACCCACAAAUUUGAGAAUCACUACCAUAGCUCUGAUUCCAAAGCGAGGGGUUUGGAAUCUGAAUUCGAUUUCUAUAACUACCCAUUUUACUCCCAUUAAAUUUUUAUAAUCUCUAAAUUACUCUCAAUUAAGUUAUGUCAUUUUUUUCUUUUUGGUUCCCAUGGAAUUUAUCAAACAAACUCAAAUUUCUUGAAUUAUUUGCAAAUAGGUCCUUUAUUGUUUAUAAUAAUGUAAUAAUAAUAUUAUAUUAUAUUAUUAUAUUUAAAAUUUAUUUAUUUUAUUAUUUUAAUUAUUAUUAUUGUCAUUAAUUUCAUCAUCAUCAUCAUUUCAUCAUCAUUAUUAUUAAAUUUUUUUAUUUAAUCAUCAUUAUUAUUAAAUUUUUUUAUUUAUUUUUCUUUUAGAAAAACAUAGUACACAUAAAUAGCUAGACAAAGAGAAUCUCUUGUAUAUAUCAAGAGAUCUUACAAGUUAAACUGAACCAAACUGAGACCAUCAUACAAUUGAUGGGUAAUAACAGUACCCAUACUUUUAUUUUCUUAAACAUAACAUAAGAGACUAAUACUGCAUAUUCUUAACCAGUGUGAUCAAGGUUUCUUCCAUAUUGCGGGACCACAAGAAGAUCAAUAUUUCCAUUAAUUUCAUCAUCAGCAAUAAGUGACCAACGUGGCGGUGCAAUCCCCUCCGACCAAUCGUUAUAACCUG
rnacentral:lncRNA from 1 species